UACGUAGGUGGCGAGCGUUGUCCGGAAUUACUGGGUGUAAAGGGAGCGCAGGCGGGGAGCCAAGUUGGAUGUGAAAUACCGCAGCUUAACUGCGGGGCUGCAUCCAAAACUGGUUUUCUUGAGUGGAGUAGAGGUAGGCGGAAUUCCUAGUGUAGCGGUGAAAUGCGUAGAUAUUAGGAGGAACACCAGUGGCGAAGGCGGCCUACUGGGCUCUAACUGACGCUGAGGCUCGAAAGCGUGGGGAGCAA
rnacentral:rRNA from 1 species